UUAGGGACCGGUCAUAAACUAACUGCUAGGGUGGGCCGGAGGGAAAAUAGGUUUUCAAAAAAAACAACCGGUGGCCCAUCCUGAGAACCUAGAAAAAAUUUCAAAGCCCAUUGUAGCUCAUUGGAAAAAUUUCACGACCCGGUACAGUAUAGCGGUCAAUGUACACUUGAUUUUUUUGAUAAAAAAUCAUUGGAAAUAUCAUCCCCUCAGUCCGACUCCAUGUCAUCAGAAUCUGAUUCUGAGGAAGGGUGAUGUGGAUAUUUAAAAAUCAAUGCCUGUAAAUGUGACUUACAAAUAUUAAUGCCAUUACUGAACUAUUAACAAUAACAAAAUUAUAUUUUUAUUUAAUUUUGAAUUCA